UACGUAGGGUGCGAGCGUUAAUCGGAAUUACUGGGCGUAAAGCGUGCGCAGGCGGUCUGUUAAGACAGAUGUGAAAUCCCCGGGCUUAACCUGGGAACUGCAUUUGUGACUGGCAGGCUAGAGUAUGGCAGAGGGGGUAGAAUUCCACGUGUAGCAGUGAAAUGCGUAGAGAUGUGGAGGAAUACCGAUGGCGAAGGCAGCCCCCUGGGCCAAUACUGACGCUACAUGCACGAAAGCGUGGGAGCAAACGAGG
rnacentral:rRNA from 1 species